CAGACUUUUUCCAAAAAGGUUCGACAUGCGUCUCCCUCCCCCACAGGAGAACACGAGACGACCAGAAGCUAGGGUUCCCUCCGCCGCCGCGCCCCAACCCUCCGGUCCGGCAACCCUCGCCUCCCUCUCCUAUCCCCAGUUGCCGUCGUAGUCCCCUGCCACCGGUCCGGCGUGCGAGGGCGAGAGCCACGCGAAGCGCCAGGCUGGCGAAGGCGCGAGGGAGGAGGAAAACGAGGACGCAAUAUCGUCAGGGAGGAAGCGAGAGGGCGGCCACGGCGAAAGGAGAUGACCAUCUGAUGUCUCGGUGGGGUAGCCCAACCCACCACUCCUCCUGCGGUGACGACGGCGGAGAGCAGAAGACCAUCUCACAACGCUGCCGCGGAUGAUGAAAUUGGAGAAGCGGUCUUGGUGAUAAGGCCAGUGGACUGAGGAACUACGGAUGUGGUUGCAGAGGACGUAGAGACUACUCAGCCUUUGUCCAGAAUCUUGGCAGAUCACUCAGAGACGGGUGCAUUCCUAUCUCGUUCUUCUCAAUUGAACUAUUUGUCUGUCAUCCCCUUCUCCGAUUGAAGUACAGCAUGCUAGAUACCACGGAGGUAUGUCCUGCACUUCCUGCGCAUGAAGGCGGAUGGAUUUUUUUUGGAUGCCACUAUCGUCAGACACAUCGUGUUUAUCAGCGAGUAACUGGUACAAAGUUCAGAUUAUCAGAUCCGUUCGUGCUGAUGGAUGGAUAGCUUCGUCGCAGUCGACGGGAGAAAUAUCACCAAUGGUAGGUAGGCUGAGGCGGACGCUAAUACCAAUCGGUCAAUGCAGGAAACCAACCCCGCCUCGUGCCAUUCCCCAUCUUUGUAUUUGUGUUAGGCCCAGCUCAAGGUAGAGGAAUAACAGGAGGCCAGAAAGAAUGAAGCUAGAAGGCAGAAGGCAUUUGAUCUGAAGGCAUGGUUCAAAAGUUGUUGAAGUGAAAGAUGAAGAGGAAUUUGUGGAGGAGCUGAAGACAUGACGUGGAAGAAAGAAGAAAGCAAACCCUAAACAUUAUAAUGAUGGAGACUGCUUGAUAUCUUGUUGUUUCAAGAAAUUCUGAUUAAGCUCUCAACCCGUGACCGAGUACUGCCCUGCCUAGCCACGCGUCCAGGAUGCGGAAGAUGCGGCGCUUGCUGGAAAGCUGGUCAAGUAGGGCCCCCACUGUGUGUUUUAGCAGAUUGAUCCUGCACAUCACACUAACUGCUAGAAAUAAGUGGACUCAGAACAAUUUGCAAUCAUCAGUUGGAUAUUUGACGACUACAAUAUAUGCUGUUUUCUAUAUUGAGUUUGUAUAUUCGAUCUCACCACUUGUUAGCUUCCUUCUGAGAUCCAAUUUAUAUUUUUCAGUUUUCACACUAGAGUGAUUAUUUAUAUGUAUUACUGUAGAGACACGGGAAUCUAGAUUGUUCUUU